UACGGAGGGUGCAAGCAUUAAUCGGAUUUAUUGGGCGUAAAGGGUGCGUAGGCGGAAAGAUAAGUCGGAUGUGAAAUCCCGGGGCUCAACCUCGGAACAGCAUUCGAAACUGUCAUUCUAGAGGCUAGAUGGAGAAAACGGAAUUCCACAAGUAGCGGUGAAAUGCGUAGAUAUGUGGAAGAACACCGGUGGCGAAGGCGGUUUUCUAAUUUAGACCUGACGCUGAGGCGCGAAAGCAAGGGGGAUCAAAACAGG
rnacentral:rRNA from 1 species